GAGAAGGUGGCUGAGUGGUUGAAAGCGGUAGACUGUAAAUCUAUUUUAAAAAUUUUUAAGUACUUCAUAGGUUCGAAUCCUAUUCUUCUCA
rnacentral:tRNA from 1 species